rnacentral:rRNA from 1 species
AACGAACGCUGGCGGCAUGCCUAACACAUGCAAGUCGAACGAGACCUUCGGGUCUAGUGGCGCACGGGUGCGUAACGCGUGGGAACCUGCCUUUAGGUUCGGAAUAACUCAGAGAAAUUUGAGCUAAUACCGGAUAAUGUCUUCGGACCAAAGAUUUAUCGCCUUUAGAUGGGCCCGCGUAAGAUUAGCUAGUUGGUGGGGUAAAGGCCUACCAAGGCGACGAUCUUUAGCUGGUCUGAGAGGAUGAUCAGCCACACUGGGACUGAGACACGGCCCAGACUCCUACGGGAGGCAGCAGUGGGGAAUAUUGGACAAUGGGCGAAAGCCUGAUCCAGCAAUGCCGCGUGAGUGAUGAAGGCCUUAGGGUUGUAAAGCUCUUUUACCCGUAGAUGAUAAUGACAGUAUCGGGAGAAUAAGCUCCGGCUAACUCCGUGCCAGCAGCCGCGU